rnacentral:rRNA from 1 species
GAUGAACGCUGGCGGCGUGCCUAAUACAUGCCAGUCGAGCGAACGGACGAGAAGCUUGCUUCUCUGAUGUUAGCGGCGGACGGGUGAGUAACACGUGGAUAACCUACCUAUAAGACUGGGAUAACUUCGGGAAACCGGAACUAAUACCGGAUGAUAUUUUGAACCGCAUGGUUCAAAGGUGAAAGACGGUCUUGCUGUCACUUAUAGAUGGAUCCGCGCUGCAUUAGCUAGUUGGUAAGGUAACGGCUUACCAAGGCAACGAUGCAUAGCCGACCUGAGAGGGUGAUCGGCCACACUGGAACUGAGACACGGUCCAGACUCCUACGGGAGGCAGCAGUAGGGAAUCUUCCGCAAUGGGCGAAAGCCUGACGGAGCAACGCCGCGUGAGUGAUGAAGGUCUUCGGAUCGUAAAACUCUGUUAUUAGGGAAGAACAUAUGUGUAAGUAACUGUGCACAUCUUGACGGUACCUAAUCAGAAAGCCACGGCUAACUACGUG